rnacentral:rRNA from 1 species
ACUCAAAUGAAUUGACGGGGACCCGCACAAGCAGUGGAGCAUGUGGUUUAAUUCGAUGCAACGCGAAGAACCUUACCCAGGCUUGACAUACAGUAGACAGCUCCAGAAAUGGAGUCUUCCUUCGGGACUGCUGAACAGGUGCUGCAUGGCUGUCGUCAGCUCGUGCCGUGAGGUGUUGGGUUAAGUCCCGCAACGAGCGCAACCCUUAUCGUUAGUUGCCAACAUUUUAGGUGGGAACUCUAGCGAGACUGCCCGGGUUAACCGGGAGGAAGGUGAGGAUGACGUCAAGUCCGCAUGGCCCUUAUGUCUGGGGCUACACACGUGCUACAAUGGUCGGUACAAAAGGCAGCGAAGUCGUGAGAUGGAGCAAAUCCCAAAAAACCGGCCCCAGUUCAGAUUGUAGUCUGCAACUCGACUACAUGAAGAUGGAAUUGCUAGUAAUGGCGAGUCAGCUACAUCGCCGUGAAUACGUUCUCGGGUCUUGCACACACCGCCCGU